rnacentral:rRNA from 1 species
UACGUAGGGUGCGAGCGUUAAUCGGAAUUACUGGGCGUAAAGCGUGCGCAGGCGGUUGGUUAAGUCUGAUGUGAAAGCCCCGGGCUCAACCUGGGAAUGGCAUUGGAAACUGGCUGGCUAGAGUGUGGCAGAGGGGGGUGGAAUUCCGCGUGUAGCAGUGAAAUGCGUAGAGAUGCGGAGGAACACCGGUGGCGAAGGCGGCUUCCUGGACCGACACUGACGCUGAGGCGCGAAAGCUAGGGGAGCAAACGGG